rnacentral:rRNA from 1 species
UUUAGCUGCAUGUUGCUCACCUUCAACAAUCAUUAUCCCAAACACCUGUGCACCUUUUGAGGGGCAGUUUCUAAGUAGAUUUUGCUGCCUGUUGGUAGUGGGAUUAUCUUGGAUCCUUUCCCUUCUUUCACACAUACACUAUUUUCAAUAUUGAACGUGAUUGUGCCGUAAGGCCUUAAUAAAAAUACAACUUUUAACAACGGAUCUCUUGGCUCUCGCAUCGAUGAAGAACGCAGCGAAAUGCGAUAAGUAAUGUGAAUUGCAGAAUUCAGUGAAUCAUCGAAUCUUUGAACGCACCUUGCGCUCCUUGGUAUUCCGAGGAGCACGCCUGUUCGAGUGUCGUGAAGUUCUCAAGCUAGGUGCUUUUUUGCUUGACGAAAAUGCGGUUAGCUUGGUAUUGGGCUUUGCCGUGUCCCUUCAUUUGGAACGGCUGGUCUUAAAGACAUUAGCUUUGACCCUUCACGUGGUAUUGGUUCUACUCAGCGUGAUAAUAAUCUAACCGCUGAGGACAUCUUUUGGGGUGGCCAAUUCUUGUUGGGGUUGCUUUCUAAUCUGGUUUGCAGGAUUCUUGAAUCCUGCUCCAUUUUUCAAUUUUUGACCUCGAAUCAGGUGGGACUACCCGCUGAACUUAAGCAUAUCAA